rnacentral:rRNA from 1 species
UACGUAGGGUGCGAGCGUUAAUCGGAAUUACUGGGCGUAAAGCGUGCGCAGGCGGUUCGUUAAGUUCGAUGUGAAAGCCCCGGGCUCAACCUGGGAACUGCAUUGGAAACUGGCGAGCUUGAAUGCGGCAGAGGGGGGUGGAAUUCCGCGUGUAGCAGUGAAAUGCGUAGAGAUGCGGAGGAACACCGAUGGCGAGGGCAGCCCCCUGGGCCGACAUUGACGCUCAGGCACGAAAGCGUGGGGAGCAAACAGG